CCAGGCCAAACCGCUGCUACACACUUCUCCUCUGACCCGCAGCAUCAGACAGACAGGUUCUGCUGCACCUUGUGCCAACUGUGGCACUUCAAACAAAAUGUGUCCUCAUGAAACUUGUGGACAAGACCCCAGUAUGGCCAAUCCCGCCAAACCACAAGCUAAAGCUGCUAAUCCAAGGACUGGCCUGAACUUUAACACUUUCCAUUAAAAUGGGACUCAUGCUGCA